rnacentral:rRNA from 1 species
CCUACGGGAGGCAGCAGUGGGGAAUAUUGCACAAUGGGCGAAAGCCUGAUGCAGCGACGCCGCGUGAGGGAUGACGGCCUUCGGGUUGUAAACCUCUUUCAGUAGCCACGAAGCGCAAGUGACGGUAGCUACAGAAGAAGGACCGGCCAACUACGUGCCAGCAGCCGCGGUAAU